UACGAAGGGGGCUAGCGUUGCUCGGAAUCACUGGGCGUAAAGCGCACGUAGGCGGCUUUUUAAGUCAGGGGUGAAAUCCUGGAGCUCAACUCCAGAACUGCCUUUGAUACUGAGAAGCUUGAGUCCGGGAGAGGUGAGUGGAACUGCGAGUGUAGAGGUGAAAUUCGUAGAUAUUCGCAAGAACACCAGUGGCGAAGGCGGCUCACUGGCCCGAUACUGACGCUGGGGCACGAAAGCGUGGGGAGCAAACAGG
rnacentral:rRNA from 1 species